GGUGCAUGGUUGUCGUCAGCUCGUGUCGUGAGAUGUUGGGUUAAGUCCCGCAACGAGCGCAACCCUUGUCUUAUGUUGCCAGCACGUUGUGGUGGGGACUCGUAAGAAACUGCCGGGGUUAACUCGGAGGAAGGUGGGGAUGACGUCAAAUCAUCAUGCCCCUUAUGUCCAGGGCUUCACACAUGCUACAAUGGUCGGUACAGUGGGUUGCCAGUCCGUGAGGGCGAGCUAAUCCCGCAAAGCCGGUCUCAGUUCGGAUCGGGGUCUGCAACUCGACCCCGUGAAGUCGGAGUCGCUAGUAAUCGCAGAUCAGCAACGCUGCGGUGAAUACGUUCCCGGGCCUUGUACACACCGCCCGUCACGUCAUGAAAGUCGGUAACACCCGAAGCCAGUGGCCUAAACUCGUUAGGGAGCUGUCGAAGGUGGGAUUGGCGAUUGGGACGAAGUCGUAACAAGGUAGCCGUACCGGAAGGUGCGGCUGGAUCACCUCCUUUCUAAGGAGA
rnacentral:rRNA from 1 species